rnacentral:rRNA from 1 species
AUUGAACGCUGGCGGCAUGCCUUACACAUGCAAGUCGAACGGCAGCGCGGGAGCAAUCCUGGCGGCGAGUGGCGAACGGGUGAGUAAUGCAUCGGAACGUGCCUAGUCGUGGGGGAUAACUGCUCGCAAGAGCAGCUAAUACCGCAUACGACCUGGGGGUGAAUGGGGGGGUCUGCAAGACCGGCCGCAACUAGGAGGGCCGCGGUAGGAUUAGGCAGUUGGUGGGGUAAAGGCCCACCAAGGCAACGAUCCGUAGCUGGUCGGGGAGGACGACCAGCCACACUGGGACUGAGACACGGCCCAGACUCCUACGGGAGGCAGCAGUGGGGAAUUUUGGACAAUGGACGCAAGUCUGAUCCAGCCAUGCCGCGUGCGGGAAGAAGGCCUUCGGGUUGUAAACCGCUUUUGUCAGGGAAGAAAUCUUCUGGGCUAAUACCCUGGGAGGAUGACGGUACCUGAAGAAUAAGCACCGGCUAACUACGUGCCAGCCGCCGCGGUAACAC